rnacentral:rRNA from 1 species
AUGGCGAGGACCAGUCGCCGGCGAGAGGCUGCCAAAUUGAUGGCCAAACCAUCGGUCAAGGCCGGAUCCCCCUGUGAGUUGAAAGGUAAUGAAGAUGAUAGGAUCAGCAAGUUGCCCAAUGACAUCCUGCUCAACAUUCUUGACCGUCUCGAUUUCCGUGACGUUACAAGAACCAGUGUCCUCUCCAGACGUUGGAGUCAGCUUCCUGCCAACCUCUCACGGCUUAAAAUAAGUGCUCUCAGUUUCAUGCCCUCACAGACUAGCAUAUCUGAUGAUGAAUUGGGUGGAACAUUGCUUCGGAUCAAUGCAGUUAACGCAGCCAAUGCAGCCGUGGUCAAAGCAACAAAGAGUAUGCUGGCACACAGGGAUCCAGGUGGAUGCACCAUCCGCCUCUUGAGCACCAUGUUCUACUUGUCAGGUGAUGCCCCUAUAUCCAUUGGGCAUACUGUUGGCAAUGCCAUGGCGACUCACAGGGUUGAGAAAGCUGAACUCGUAGUUCUGACAGAGAAGAAGGGACAGAUGUGCAGUAUUGCUGAUCUGGCGAACUAUGGGACACGGUUUGUGUCAUUUUUUAAUGAAUGCCACAAUGCAUUUGCUGGUCUCACACGCCUCUACCUGGAGAAUUUGAGUUUCCGUGAAUCUGACUUUGUCUCCAACAUCCUUGUCACUUGCAAGCAAUUGAAUUAUUUAGGUUUUUUCAAUUGUGACACAGAGGAUUGGAUAAAAAGCUCCAAGUUAAACACGCACAGCUCAGUGACCUCAGUAUUGUCGAUUGCUGUUUUGACAUGGUCGAACUCACCUGGGUUCCAAAACUCACAUGGCUGGCGUUUGAGAUGCUGGGAUCUCCAGAAGAACCACCACUGGUGCUGGGCUAUGUCCCAUUGCUUGGGGUUCUGA